rnacentral:rRNA from 1 species
GCCUUUUGUAGAAUGAACCGGCGAGUUACGAUCUGAUGCAAGGUUAAGCAGAAAAUGUGGAGCCGUAGCGAAAGCGAGUCUGAAUAGGGCGAAUGAGUAUUUGGUCGUAGACCCGAAACCAGGUGAUCUACCCUUGGUCAGGUUGAAGUUCAGGUAACACUGAAUGGAGGACCGAACCGACUUACGUUGAAAAGUGAGCGGAUGAACUGAGGGUAGCGGAGAAAUUCCAAUCGAACUUGGAGAUAGCUGGUUCUCUCCGAAAUAGCUUUAGGGCUAGCCUCAAGUGAUGAUUAUUGGAGGUAGAGCACUGUUUGGACGAGGGGCCCCUCUCGGGUUACCGAAUUCAGACAAACUCCGAAUGCCAAAUAAUUUAACUUGGGAGUCAGAAUGUGGGUGAUAAGGUCCAUAUUCGAAAGGGAAACAGCCCAGACCACCAGCUAAGGUCCCAAAAUAUAUGUUAAGUGGAAAAGGAUGUGGCGUUGCCCAGACAACUAGGAUGUUGGCUUAGAAGCAGCCAUCAUUUAAAGAGUGCGUAAUAGCUCACUAGUCGAGUGACACUGCGCCGAAAAUGUACCGGGGCUAAACAUAU